AACCACAUCCCUCAUUUUUAAUUUAUACUUAAAUAACCUGAUACUGCUUUUAGAUGAACUGGAUACAAGCCUAAGAAGAUGCCUGUCUGAAAAAGAGCCAAGUGAGAUGAAGAUGCCAAGGCACACGGAAGUUAAGUAUCCAAGUAUUUUUAAGAUCCAAUUCCUGCCACCCUUGAAAACACCAGCUUCAUGUGCUAUUGUUCCCCUGCCACAUGUAUCUUCAUUGUGGUGGAUACACCUUAAGAUAACUUUUAUUCACACAGAGAGACCUUCCUUCAGGACUUGAAGAAGCAAGUCAAGUUGUUACGAUGUGAAUGGAGAAGUCCACAUGGUAAAGAACCAGAGGCAGCUCCUAGGGUUUUGAGGGCCUUCAUCCUAUGACCAUAAGGAGUUAAAUUUUCCUAACAUCCACUUGAACUUAGAAGAGGAUCCCUAGCUUCAGAAAGGCACACAGUUCAGCUGACACAUUACAGCCUUGUGAAAUCCUAGGAGAACCCAGAUAAGCCAUGCCCUGAACU
rnacentral:lncRNA from 1 species